GUCGGACCAGGCUUCAUUC
rnacentral:miRNA from 1 species